CUUCCUGCCGUACAACAGUCCCCAGGAGGAACCUGCACCGUUUGCUCCCCUCGUAACCCCGCUUCCCAGCAAGAGGCACACCUGUUAGGAAGGCAGCCACCACAGAUACACAGACACACACAAGGGCCCGGAUGCUCCCAGUCAGCACCUGGGGAUUGGCAAGAGCCUUCAUCUUCCGUGCCAUGGUUUCAUCCCUCUGAAGGCAAGUUUCCACCCUGGGUGUUGGCAGCACUUCUGAAGGGAAAGAGCUGUUGGAAUGGGUUUCUUGCUGUCUGGCUGUGCAUCCCUGGGCCUCCAAAAGCAGUGGGUUCCCUUGCCUGCCCACACAAUUAAAAUAAAUGCUAGGUCCCUCUGAGAUGGACACCUGCUUUCCUCUGAUCCACAGAAACCCACGUUUGGACCCAUUCGUCAAUCACCCAAAGCAAAGGGACCCGGGAAGCGAGGUGGUGUUUUGACUGCACCUCCCACCCCCCCUCGUGCUGCAUCCCCAGACAAGCUGACUCCAAGAGCUCAGACGGAGAAACACACAAUGCAGAGAGAAGCAGCUGCAGCCUCGUCCAAUUAUGGUGCUAAAUUACCAAGCCAAAGGCGCUCCGAGGAAGACAGAGACAGAGAGAGUGAGACACGCACACAGAGACCGAGAGAGAGAUGGGGAGAGAGAGACAGCGAGAGGGAGCAUGCAGGCAGUUCUGGUACAACGUGAAUCCAAACUCACCAUGGAUGAAUAGGUGUGGACUAACAUCUGGAAAAAAAAGCCUGGUUACUGCUCAAAAUCAAACAAUGAUUAAAAAAAAAUAAUCAAGGAGUCCAGCGAAGAAACGAGCUGGACACAGAAGCUGAGCUUGAAGUGUUUCCAGGGCAAGCCAUCCAAAAAAAAAAAAAAAAAUCACCCCCCCCACCCCCAAA